rnacentral:ncRNA from 2 species
AAGCGUUCUCAGGGCGGGGCGAAAUUCCCCACCGGCGGUGAUGGCGGCGAAGGCCGUACGAGCCCGCGAGCGCCCGCGGCGUGCAAUGCGCCCUGGGGUCAGCAGACCCGGUGCGAUUCCGGGGCCGACGGUCACAGUCCGGAUGAAAGAGAGCGCGA